rnacentral:lncRNA from 1 species
CUCAAUCCUACGUGGGCUCCAAAAAAAAAAAAUUAAAUACAAAAAUAUAAGCAGGUCUGUGUCCUUCUCCUACCUGCCCUUCUAUAGCAUACUCUCCAUCUUUUAGGCUGGUGAGAGUCUGGAUAUAGGACAUCCCUUGCUUCAGAUAGCCUGCCAGGGCUGGGUACCAGUAGAUGUGCCCCCCCCCCCGAAGUGCGCUGAGAAACCCUGCCCUAUAAUUUUGCAUCACGGCUCCCAAUUUGGUCAAAGACGAGUUCUACUCCUUUAAGUGCCAAGAAGAGGUCUUAUUCUGUCCUGCGCCAGAAGACACUGAACGUGUGCCUGCAUCUGAAGUAAAAGCCAGCAGACACAGCCAACAUUCCUUUCUGAAGCUUCCCUUUCAAGAGAGCUGCUUCAUUCUGAUUGGGAGCUUUCUCCUGCAAGGAGGGGAGGGAGAAUGGGAGGGAGCCGACUGUGGACUGAGACUUAAGGAAUGGGAGGCUCCGCUUCACACAGUCGUCUCCUUCAAGCCCUCUACAUUCCAGCCAAGCUGGGCCCCUGGCUGCUUCCUGAUUUCUUUCCUGUUCUCUCCUGCCUCUUCUUUUCUUUCAAGGCCAGUCCAGUUACUGCCUCCUCUAUGAAGUUUUCCCUCUUGGCCUAAAUCAUUU